rnacentral:rRNA from 1 species
AUUGAACGCUGGCGGCAGGCUUAACACAUGCAAGUCGAACGAGCGGCGGACGGGUGAGUAAUAUAUGGGAACGUGCCCAGUAGCGGGGGAUAACUACUGGAAAGCGUGGCUAAUACCGCAUACUAUCAGAUGUGCCGAUAUGGGAUUAGCUAGUCGGUGGGGUAAAGGCUCACCUAGGCGACGAUCCCUAGCUGGUCUGAGAGGAAGACCAGCCACACUGGGACUGAGACACGGUCCAGACUCCUACGGGAGGCAGCAGUGGGGAAUAUUGGACAAUGGGCGAAAGCCUGAUGCAGCCAUGCCGCGUGUGUGAAGAAGGCCUUCGGGUUGUAAAGCACUUUCAGCGGGGAGGCGGUACCUGCAGAAGAAGCACCGGCUAACUCCGUGCCAGCAGCCGCGGUAAUUC